GACGAACGCUGGCGGCGUGCUUAACACAUGCAAGUCGAACGGAAAGGCCCUGCUUUUGUGGGGUGCUCGAGUGGCGAACGGGUGAGUAACACGUGAGUAACCUGCCCUUGACUUUGGGAUAACUUCAGGAAACUGGGGCUGAUACCGGAUAGGAGCUCCUGCUGCAUGGUGGGGGUUGGAAAGUUUCGGCGGUUGGGGAUGGACUCGCGGCUUAUCAGCUUGUUGGUGGGGUAGUGGCUUACCAAGGCUUUGACGGGUAGCCGGCCUGAGAGGGUGACCGGCCACAUUGGGACUGAGAUACGGCCCAGACUCCUACGGGAGGCAGCAGUGGGGAAUAUUGCACAAUGGGCGGGAGCCUGAUGCAGCAACGCCGCGUGCGGGAUGACGGCCUUCGGGUUGUAAACCGCUUUCGCCUGUGACGAAGCGUGAGUGACGGUAAUGGGUAAAGAAGCACCGGCUAACUACGUG
rnacentral:rRNA from 1 species